rnacentral:rRNA from 1 species
AUUGAACGCUGGCGGCAGGCCUAACACAUGCAAGUCGAACGGCAGCGGGGGAUAGCUUGCUAUCCUGCCGGCGAGUGGCGGACGGGUGAGUAACGCAUGGGGAGCUGCCCAAUCGAGGGGGAUAACAACUGGAAACGGUUGCUAAUACCGCAUACGCCCUGCGGGGGAAAGGUGGGGACCUUCGGGCCUACCGCGAUUGGAUGCACCCAUGUGGGAUUAGCUGGUUGGUGAGGUAACGGCUCACCAAGGCGACGAUCUCUAGCUGGUCUGAGAGGAUGACCAGCCACACUGGAACUGAGACACGGUCCAGACUCCUACGGGAGGCAGCAGUGGGGAAUAUUGCACAAUGGGGGAAACCCUGAUGCAGCCAUGCCGCGUGUGUGAAGAAGGCCUUCGGGUUGUAAAGCACUUUCAGUGGGGAGGAAGGGUUGAUGACUAAUAUUCAUCAGCAUUGACGUUACCCACAGAAGAAGCACCGGCUAACUCCGUGCCAGCCGCCGCAGUAAGAC